rnacentral:tRNA from 1 species
AGCUAAAUUAGCAGAUAUAAUGUAUUCAAUUUAGGAUUGAAAGGAAAUGUUAAAAAUUAUUUAGUUA